rnacentral:rRNA from 1 species
CCUACGGGAGGCAGCAGUGGGGAAUAUUGGACAAUGGGGGCAACCCUGAUCCAGCCAUGCCGCGUGUGUGAAGAAGGCCCUCGGGUUGUAAAGCACUUUCAGCGAGGAAGAACGCCUAGCGGUUAAUACCCGCUAGGAAAGACAUCACUCGCAGAAGAAGCACCGGCUAACUCCGUGCCAGCAGCCGCGGUAAUACGGAGGGUGCAAGCGUUAAUCGGAAUUACUGGGCGUAAAGCGCGCGUAGGUGGCUUGAUAAGCCGGUUGUGAAAGCCCCGGGCUCAACCUGGGAACGGCAUCCGGAACUGUCAAGCUAGAGUGCAGGAGAGGAAGGUAGAAUUCCCGGUGUAGCGGUGAAAUGCGUAGAGAUCGGGAGGAAUACCAGUGGCGAAGGCGGCCUUCUGGACUGACACUGACACUGAGGUGCGAAAGCGUGGGUAGCAAACAGGAUUAGAUACCCUGGUAGUCCACGCCGUAAACGAUGUCGACCAGCCGUUGGGUGCCUAGCGCACUUUGUGGCGAAGUUAACGCGAUAAGUCGACCGCCUGGGGAGUACGGCCGCAAGGUUAAAACUCAAAUGAAUUGACGGAAGGGCGAAUCGCGGCCGCUAAAUCAAUCGCCGUAAGG